rnacentral:tRNA from 1 species
GGGCCCGUGGCGCAGCGGUUAGCGCUGACGACUCAUAAUCGUUAGGUCGCUGGUUCGAAUCCAGCCGGGCCCA